UUUCAUGUACCAUUUUGAGAAUGGAGUGCAUUUACACAAUGCCACAAAACCCCCCCCAAGAAGUAGGCAGGAGUGGACUGUGAGAGGCAGAAAAAAAAGUAGGUUUAUAUAG